UACAGAGGUCCCGAGCGUUGUUCGGAUUCACUGGGCGUAAAGGGUGCGUAGGCGGUCAGGUAAGUCUGAUGUGAAAUCUCGGAGCCUAACUCCGAAACUGCAUUGGAUACUAUCUGGCUAGAGGAAUGGAGGGGAGACUGGAAUGCUCGGUGUAGCAGUGAAAUGCGUAGAUAUCGAGCGGAACACCAGUGGCGAAGGCGAGUCUCUGGACAUUUCCUGACGCUGAGGCACGAAAGCCAGGGGAGCAAACGGG
rnacentral:rRNA from 1 species